CCCCCAUUGACCGCCGCCCCCGAAUGAGCGCCGCAUCUGAAGCUCUGAAAAUUUAAAGAGCGCCGCGGCGCUUAAACGAGUAAAUACGGUAUACCUUCCUAUUCUGUGAUUAGGCGUACUGUUCCAGUACUUCGUAUUAAUGUACAACUAAAUGAACUAAUUAUUAAAAAGUAAACAGACCUUUAAACUGAAGAACUUGAUUGGCUUGUAUACAUUGGUUUCUUUGUCAUAUAGUUCAAUUGCUGUUGCUUGUAAAUGUUUUAUAAACCAGUACCGCGAAGUAGCGAAAUUUCGGGCCGUCUUUCACAACAAAUAACAUCACAAUAACUGCACAUCAUUUUCUCUUUAAUACAGAAUCAUUUUCCCCGUCCAUUGAGUUAUAAUUUCCAAAACGAACCAGUCACUAUAACGUAAAAUAAGCGGGUAUUUGUGAACAAAAAUGCCCUUUGAUAUGACACGAGGUAACCAGCGCCAUCUUGUCUUCUCCAAACAUUACAGAUUUCCCCGCCAAAACCCGCCCCCAAAGUCCCGUAUGUACCUGACGUCACAAGUGUCAUCGACGGGGGGGACUACCAUAUUUGG